UACGUAGGGUGCGAGCGUUAAUCGGAAUUACUGGGCGUAAAGCGUGCGCAGGCGGUUCUAUAAGACAGAUGUGAAAUCCCCGGGCUCAACCUGGGAACCGCAUUUGUGACUGUAGAGCUGGAGUACGGUAGAGGGGGAUGGAAUUCCGCGUGUAGCAGUGAAAUGCGUAGAUAUGCGGAGGAACACCGAUGGCGAAGGCAAUCCCCUGGACCUGUACUGACGCUCAUGCACGAAAGCGUGGGGAGCAAACAGG
rnacentral:rRNA from 1 species